GCGACCAGAGAGCUGAGGCAACCGUUAACUGCCCACUGCCGCGGUGUUCCUUUUCAGGCUCGUUGGGUACUGACAGCACACAACCCAUGAAACGUCCUAGUAUGCAGAUGAGGAUGUGACAGUGAGUUUGGAGUGAAUAGUUCUGGAGGCAAUAGAAGCGCCAGACAGAAACUCUCAGAGAAGCUGAAAGAAGCUAAAGCAUUUUAAAACCUAUCAAAUGGAUAUUACUUCUUAUCGUGGAAUGUUCUCAACUAUUACGGCACGAGAGAACCACGGUGCCCAUGUGGGUGUAAGACCAAAAAAAUAUGGCAGUGACAGAGCAUGGUGCCCCUCAGCAGCCUGUUUUCCGGUCUCCACAGCCACCUGCUGCCUCCCCAGGUCCCACUUAAGGAUUCUCAGGGCUACAGGAGUAAAAUUUGUUUUUUCCAACUUCCUUCCUCAUGUUGACUCCACAUGUCUCCUUGAAGGCCGUGGUAACUCACUCUCUGUAGUAGUAAUUCCUGUGAUACUCUUUACUCCUCUCUCAUAUAUAAAAUGGCAGUAUAAAAAUGGCUUGUACUGAGUGUACUGCCAUUUCCCAACUUAUUUGCAUGCUGAGAUAAAAACAUACUC